GGAGUCUUAGCUCAGUGGCAGAGCGUCUGGUUGUUAACCAGAGGGUCGCAGGUUCGAAUCCUGCAGGCUUCG
rnacentral:tRNA from 2 species